ACAGGUGAGCCUAAAUGCCCUAAAGCACCAGAUCUUGUCUGAUCUUGGAAGCUAAGCAGGGCCAGCCUUGUUGAUCACUUGGAUGGGACACCACCAAUGAAUACCAGGUGCUGUAGGUU
rnacentral:rRNA from 1 species